GUUGCUCGGGGCUGCGAUGCCCCUUAGGUUGCGGGCAACCAGAGGCCUCACUCGUGGGCAGGAAGCAAGGGCGGACCCCGAGAGAUGACUGAUUGUGGGGGUGGGGACCGUCUGCUCCUCCUAAUGGCUGGGGACCGUGCACGUCUGCGCGGGCCGGACCUGCUCUUCUCGGGAACUUGCGCGGGAGGAGGCCCGGAGCUGCGCCGCUUUACCCUCUGCUCCCCGGUGCCUAAAACGCACACGCAUCAAAGUCACAGGACGAGUUAGAGGAGAAAGGCAGAGGGAGAUUUGAAACACAGAGGAGGUGAUGAGAAGACACAGCAGAAGAUAUCUGAAGACUGGAAAGAAUGCUGCAACCAACAGGAGAAGGAAAAGACAGAAAUGUGUUUUCCAUUUGGAGCAUCCAGAGGGAGCACAACCAUAUCAACACCUUGAUUUUGAUCCAGUGACAUUGAUUUUGGACUUGUGGCCUCCAGAACUUUUAGAGAAUAAAUUUGCAUUGUUUUAAGCCAACAGGUUGGUGGAAAUUUUUUACAGCAGCCACAGGAAGCAAACACAGACUCCUAACUGGUGCUUAGUCCUAGAAUAUCAGUUUCUGUUCCACUUCUGGAUCUCAUAAUUGCAUCUCAGACAUCAACACUGACUUCAUAUUCUUAAUGCACCAAUUCUACCAUUUCUUCAGGCUGCAAACAGAGAAAAACUUAUUUAAGCAUUCCAGAAUUGACCCAAUAGAAGACUCUCCAGAAAAGACUGCAUGGUCUCUGAAGCAGCAUGAUCAGCAUGACUGGCUGCAUCUGGGCUCCACCGUUUGCCACUUCAGACAGGUCCUUAGCCUCUUAGAGGUUCAUUUUCCUUGCUGUAGCCCGGAGUAAGAAUGUUUAGCCUACAAGAUUUAUUUUGAGGCAUCAAUGAAUCACUAUGUGAGCCUCACACAGUGUCUGGCACUGAUAUUACAAAAUAUGGUUGAUCUUGC
rnacentral:lncRNA from 1 species